GGGUACCGGGCCCCCCCUCGAGAACCUGGUUGAUCUUGCCAGUAGUCAUAUGCUUGUCUCAAAGAUUAAGCCAUGCAAGUGAAAGUAUAUGCAUAUUUUAUAUGUAGAAACUGCGAACGGCUCAUUAAAACAGUUAUAAUCUACUUGAAAUUUGUACCUUACAAGGAUAACUACGGAAAAGCUGUAGCUAAUACUUGCUUUAAUGCGUUUGAAUCCUUUUGGAUUCCCGCGUAUGUACUUGUUAAGCCUUUAAGAAAGAAGUUUAUAACUUAAGGAAUUAUAACAAAGAAGUAACACAUAAUAAGGUUGCCUUAUUUAGUGUGUAUCAAUCGAGUUUCUGACCUAUCAGCUUUUGAUGUUAGGGUAUUGGCCUAACAUGGCUAUGACGGGUAACGGGGAAUUAGAGUUCGAUUCCGGAGAGGGAGCCUGAGAAAUAGCUACCACAUCUAAGGAAGGCAGCAGGCGCGUAAAUUACCCAAUUCUAAAGAAGAGAGGUAGUGACAAGAAAUAACAAUACAAGGCCAUUUCAUGGUUUUGUAAUUGGAAUGAUGGGAAUUUAAAACCUUCCCAAAAUUCAAUUGGAGGGCAAGUCUGGUGCCAGCAGCCGCGGUAAUUCCAGCUCCAAUAGCGUAUAUUAAAAUUGUUGCAGUUAAAACGCUCGUAGUUGAAUUUCAAAGAAUCAAUAUUUUAAGUAAUACUUUUGCUAUAAGAUGCUUAGACAAUACAACGUAUCUGUUCUUUGCAUUCCUUAUGCAAAAUGUGUUCUUAUUUUAAAAAGGAUUCUUUUUAAAAUCUCUUUUGCUAUUUUUUAGUAUUGGAGAUUUUGUUACUUUGAGUAAAUUAGAGUGUUCAAAGCAAACAGUUAAAGCAUUUUUACUGCGUUUGAAUACUACAGCAUGGAAUAACAAAAUUGAACAAGCCAGAAUUCUGUUCUUUUUUCUUAUUUUGGCUUAGUUACGAUUAAUAGGAGUAGCUUGGGGGCAUUUGUAUUCAGAUGUCAGAGGUGAAAUUCUUAGAUUUUCUGGAGACAAACAACUGCGAAAGCAUUUGCCUAAAAUAUUUCCAUUAAUCAAGAACGAAAGUUAAGGGAGUGAAGACGAUCAGAUACCGUCGUAAUCUUAACCAUAAACUAUACCAACUAGGUUUUGGAUGAAAAGUUUUUAAAUAAGAGAAUUCCUUUCGGGGAAAUUUCUUAGAUUGCUUCUUUCAGUACCUUAUGAGAAAUCAAAGUCUUUGGGUUCUGGGGCGAGUAUUCGCGCAAGCGAGAAAGUUAAAAGAAUUGACGGAAGGGCACCACCAGGCGUGGAGCUUGCGGCUUAAUUUGACUCAACACGGGGAAACUCACUAGUUUAAGACAAGAGUAGGAUUGACAGAUUAAUAGCUCUUUCUUGAUUUCUUGGAUGGUGAUGCAUGGCCGUUUUUAGUUCGUGAAUAUGAUUUGUCUGGUUAAUUCCGAUAACGAACGAGAUCUUAACCUGCUAAUUAGCGGCGAAUACGUUAUAUUCUUAUGUGAAAUUGAAUAUAGCUGAAUUUGCUUAUUUUGAAGAAUACAUUAGGAUACAAUUAAUGUGUCCUUUUCCCUAUUCU
rnacentral:rRNA from 1 species